CAGCUCUCAUCUUGUGUGUCCAGAUAAUCUCAGGAGUGUCAGAAUCAGAGACCAUAGCAGCUGCAAAUGCAGCAGAACUGCUACGUUCCAGAACAUAGAGCAAGGACUCAGGUAAAAGCCCACCCAAAACACUACGUUUUGCCAAAGGCAAAGAAGAGGAGACGGCGGCAUCUUCCCCUCCAUGAAAUGCUUGAUGAACAUGUGUCACUGAGAACAGCUGAGCAAUUGAGAGGAGAUUGGAUCCAGGAUAAGCUAGAGCAAAGUAAAAGGCUCCAGUGCUAUAUAAUUUUAUCAUUGCCUUGGGAUUCCUAGUAACUAUGGCCUUCAACAAAGCAGCAGCACCUUCUACAACACUUGGUUCUCCAGAGAGCAUAGCCUGAGUAAUAUGCGGAAGGCAACGUGGACUUGAUAAAAUUCGCUUGACCCUAGGUGUUGGUGUAACUAUCUCUCCAGCAUCAUCUAUAUCUGAGUGUGCCGCAACCAUGCUGUGUAAUAUGCUCAAUGCUACUUCUCCUACCUGGGUUGGAGUGAGAACAGGAACUCGGACAGCCAAAGCCCACCUGAGCUCACGAAUAUCUCGCAACUUCUUCCAAUCUGGCAUCCCAGUAGCCCAACAUCUGGUGGUCCAAUCUAUUUCCUUUUUUG
rnacentral:misc_RNA from 1 species